CUUCACCGAGCCGAGGAACAGCGGGCCUUCGGCGGGCCGGUCCUGUCCGUACGUCGCGAUGAGGGCCUGUGCCUC
rnacentral:antisense_RNA from 1 species